rnacentral:lncRNA from 1 species
CAUGGGAUGAAUUUGUUUAGAAGUUAUUAGCUCAAGAGCUAAAGAAAGCCAAAACGAUUAUCACGGGUAAAACUGACAGAAUGGAGUUGUACCGACCUAAACCCCUAAAGCUUGCCUAUGGGAAGAUUGGCCAGUACCGAAGAAUUCAGCAACCCAAAAGGAAAAAUGGCUCCAAAAGUAAAGGGAUACAAAGAUGGCAUAGAGCUGUUUCUACCAAACAGAAUGUAUUGGUUCCCAAUGAGGAAUCAUUGAAUGAAAGUGACUUGGAGUUUCAUGAAAGCCAAAAUAAUCAGAAAAAAAACUUGAUGGAGAAAAUGAAGCGAG